rnacentral:lncRNA from 1 species
AAUGUCUCCACACACUGCCCUCUUCCCACCCCUUGGCUCUUGUGGAACAAAGGGGAGUUAAGCAUUUCCUUAUUUUUUAAAAAAGCCCAAGAUGGCUUCAUGGUAUUAACUAAACAGUGGAACAGGAAAUAGCUGGCCACUCUUGAUUGAGCGAAUAAUUUUCAAACUACACCUGCCAUCCCUCAUCUCAUCUCUCCCCAACAAUCCAUCUAAACAAGGGGCAGUGACCAAGACAUAAUGAGGAGCUGCUUGAUGGAGGCCAGCAGGUCUUCAGUCAAAGCCAAAGUACUGUGUUCCCGCCCUGAGAAAACCCUGAGUGAGCCUAGGCUGGGUGCGAGGCACUGGAUCAGAUCCCCGGGCAAUGGCCUCGCUUUCUAGGAGAGCCCCGUUCGGUGGGUGGAAAGGUCGGGUCAAAGUUGCAGAACAAAGAGAGGUAGGAAGAGAAUUCCAGAGCGAAGGGACAGCACUAUGGCAGGCACAAAGAUGUAGUCACAGAGGAUAUGUUCUUGGUUGGAACUUCAGGAAGAAAGAAGGAUUGGAGCUUCCGGUGAACGGAAUACUGCUUCAGGAGGAUCCUGUGGUUUCUGCCUCCUGAGUGAAGCCUUCCUCAGGCUGCACAGCCCCUGGCAGCCAGCCUGCCCCAGUACCCAGUGUGUCACACACUGCUCUGUGCAGUGUGGGUGCUGCCUUUGCACCCGCAUGAGAUGCUCUUAUGCAUUUUCCUUCUCCAAACACACCAGAUACCCUGCAAAUAUUUGUUAAACGAUGUGAAAGACUGAGCAGCAUUAAUAAUGGAGAAAAGUUUGUACCUGCAACUAUGUAAAUAAUCUCACUGAUAUAUCUAUUCAGUAAACUUUUUUAGGGUGGUCUCAGUGAGAUGUAAUUUAUUUUACAAUUCACCGAUUUAAAAUAUUCACAUCGUGGUUUUAGUGUAUUCACAGUUUCACAGCUGUCACCACAGUUUAAGAACACGUAUACCCCCCUCCUCAUUAGCUGUCAUUCACUUCUCAGCAGGCUCCCAUUCCUAGGCAGAUCUAUUUUCCGUCCCUACGGGUUUGCCCAUCCUAGAUAAUCCUGCAACAAGGGCCCUCUUGUGACUGGUGUCUUCUCCUCCCUCUCCUUCUCCUCUUCCUCCUUCUCCCACCUCU